AUUGAACGCUGGCGGAAUGCUUUACACAUGCAAGUCGAACGGAAGCACGGGGCAACCUGGUGGCGAGUGGCGAACGGGUGAGUAAUACAUCGGAACGUGCCCAGUCGUGGGGGAUAACGUAGCGAAAGCUACGCUAAUACCGCAUACGAUCUACGGAUGAAAGCGGGGGAUCGCAAGACCUCGCGCGAUUGGAGCGGCCAAUGGCAGAUUAGGUAGUUGGUGGGGUAAAGGCCCACCAAGCCGACGAUCUGUAGCUGGUCUGAGAGGACGACCAGCCACACUGGGACUGAGACACGGCCCAGACUCCUACGGGAGGCAGCAGUGGGGAAUUUUGGACAAUGGGCGAAAGCCUGAUCCAGCCAUUCCGCGUGCAGGAUGAAGGCCCUCGGGUUGUAAACUGCUUUUGUACGGAACGAAAAGGUGCUCUCUAAUACAGGGCGCUCAUGACGGUACCGUAAGAAUAAGCACCGGCUAACUACGUGCCAGCAGCCGCAGUAA
rnacentral:rRNA from 1 species